rnacentral:rRNA from 1 species
UACGUAGGUGGCGAGCGUUGUCCGGAUUUACUGGGCGUAAAGAGCGCGCAGGCGGCCGAGCAAGUCGGAUGUGAAAAACCCCGGGGCUCAACCCCGGGCGUGUCAUUCGAUACUGCCCGGCCUCGAGGCAGGUAGGGGAGAUUGGAAUUCCCGGUGUAGCGGUGGAAUGCGCAGAUAUCGGGAGGAACACCGGUGGCGAAGGCGGAUCUCUGGGCCUGUCCUGACGCUCAUGCGCGAAAGCUGGGGGAGCG